rnacentral:rRNA from 1 species
UACGAAGGGGGCUAGCGUUGUUCGGAAUUACUGGGCGUAAAGCGCACGUAGGCGGACUAUUAAGUCAGGGGUGAAAUCCCGGGGCUCAACCCCGGAACUGCCUUUGAUACUGGUAGUCUCGAGUCCGGAAGAGGUGAGUGGAAUUCCGAGUGUAGAGGUGAAAUUCGUAGAUAUGGGGAGGAACACCGGUGGCGAAGGCGGCCAUCUGGACGGAUACUGACGCUGAGACGCGAAAGCGUGGGGAGCAAACAGG